rnacentral:pre_miRNA from 1 species
UCUGAAAUUGCUGGAUCAUAGAGUAAUUAUAUACUUAACUUUAUAAGAAAUUGCCAAAUGGUUUUCCAAAGUGGUUGAACCAUAUAAUCCCAUCAGCAGU